UCUGACCUGGCGAGUCUUAUGACACGAGAGGUAGAGUUUGCCUCUAAGAUUCUGAACUUCACGGAGGAGAUGCUAACCUCUGCAAACCUUUCACUGCAUUGGAGCUGGAAGUCGGGGUGGCCGCAUUCGACUCUGCUAGGUAUCCAGAAAGGGUAAAAGAGAUCUGUCUGAUCGCCACAGCUAAAUGAUUGGCUGCAGCGUCUGUGAAGCUCAUCAGCUGAGGAAACACAAUAAGAAGUUAACCAGCGAAACUGACUGAUUUAGAGGCAAACAGUGGAGUGUUGAAUAAGGCAAAAUUUUCAUUUACUAGGGAAAUGGACUGAUGUAGAGAAAGACUAAUUGGAUGAACGAUAAGGACUAAUUGUUAAGUUGACCGCAAGUUUUCAGCAACUAAAGAAGAUUCAAACCAGUAACGUUUUUUUUUACCUUGUCACACCUUCUCUUUUAAUCUCACUCAUAAGCUACGUGACUAUGUCUGAGUGUGUUAAAAUCAACAAAGGAAGGUUGAAACAAAAAAUAGAGUGUGCAUCCAGUUCUCAGAUUUGCUGCUUGGACGGGAACUACUUGCCUCCAGUAUGAGGGGGCGACGAGGUUAUGGUGGCUGGGAACUUCUUGGUUAACCGAAAAGCAAAAAAGAUGGAAAAAUACUUGUAAAACAAAACCGAUAUCUUUCCUAAGAAUUAUGGUAACUGUUUAAUUGAUGUGAGAGGGUAGCUGGGUAGGUAAGUAAAGGCGUUGCAGAAUGAGAAAUUUUGUAAAAGGAAAUCUCCUAUCAAGGAUAAUGAUCAUAGGUUUAUUUAAACUGCAACUAGUUAUUGUCGCUAAAGAAGAGGGAUAUGAAAAGAGGAUGCUGAAUAAGAUACUUACUAUCAGGGGGCCGGAGCGUAUUUGUAACAUUUCGAUUUCUAUUAUUUGGUGGUGUAUGUUGAAAAGAAUUAGAAAAUGAUUUGAUUAUGUAUAUCAUUAAAAUAAACUUAUCUUUUCGGUCAUGUGUUCAGCUAAAACGAUUGGCUGCAGAGUCUGCGAGUUCAUCAGCUAAGACAACACUAGAAGCCUAGAAGGUAUUACAAAGGGUAUCCAUAUAAUACUAUGGUUCUGUUAUAUAAAUACAUUAAUUAUUGUGUUGAGGUAAAAUGGUGAAUAAUUAAGAAGAUGUAAUUUGUGAAUGUGUGACUUCAAACUUUCAAAGUCAGGUAGCUUAGAAUUUUCUCAGACCAGUGGAAAAAUAAAUCACAUGUCUUUAUUAGUUGCCCCCAAAAACAAGAAAUUCAGGUCGUUAGGGGGUAAAAUAAUUGUUUAAAAAAAGAUUGAGAGGAAACUUGCUGGUACACAGAACAAGUAUUAAGGUGCAACAAUGACUAAAACAAAAAUCUGGAGGUUUAAGAAUCAUUUCUAUGAAUAUAUAAUCAUUUAUAUCUAAGAAUAUCUAGAUACACCAGACAUCUAAAAUAGUUUCUGUAAAUGCAAGAAUUAUACCAAGAAGUAUAACACAAAGUACAGUAGAAAUUAUCUCUACAAAAUAUGUAUAUUUAUUAGGUUUCUUUUAAAGCGAACUUACAAGUAUCUUUUUAAAUAGAAAAAUCAAGAAAAUCAAGAUCAACUUGAUUUGUUACACCAGCUUCACGCGUCCUAAAAUCGAAUACAAGACGUUAGAACUCCUAGUCUUAGAAUUGAUUUAUUACACUAGUUUCACACGUCCUAAGAUCAAAUACAAAAAUGAAGCAUCUCCUAUCUAUAAGAAAAAGAGGGAAAAUCCUACUAUCUCCUACAUGGCCUUUUGGGGUUAAAAUAUUCCAAAAUAUCUAAAACUUAAAAAUGUUUCGGAAUUGUCCAAAAUACCUGAAAAUAUCCCAAAAUAACCAAAUUAGAUUAUCCUAAAUAGCAAAAAAAAAUACUUAAAACACCAUAAGGACCUAAAAUAUCAACCGGUUCUUCAUCUAAAUAUUCCAAUCAAUCCAAUCUAUAUAUUAAUUUUAAUUUUUUGGUCAUACAUUAUUCAAAUUUAUAUAUUGUAUAUUAUUUUUUAUUUUAGAUUUUGGAGCGCCUAACUUCAAGGUAUAUUUGGAUGUUUAAAUUUCUUUACAUAAUCUAAGUGGGUAUCCGAACCCAAACCAAACCCGCAAAAAUCCAAACUGAAACCACAUCAAAAUUUAUUACUAUUUGAAUGAAUCUCUAACCCGAAAAUCUAAAGUACAAAUAUAUUUGAAUUGAACCCGAAUGGAUACCCAAAUAUUCACUCCUAACUUUCCUUUUAAAAUAAAAGGAAAUUGGGCUUGCUGAAUUUUAGGAUGUUACAAAAUCGUCUCCUCUGUUCUUUUGGCCAACAAAUUAUAAGUAAGGAAUUUGCUGUGAGUUGAUUCGGAAAUAAAUCUGUCAAAAGUGUGUUGACGACUUUCAUAAAAAUGGCAGAUUUGUACUUAUGACAGAGUUGAUUGUCUGAUUUUAAUACCACAAGCUUAAUUAUCCAAUUUUAUUUGAAACAAUUUUUUAUGGAUUUGUUUGGCGAAUGAAGUAUUCAAUUUGCCAUAAAUGAUAGUUUUUGUGUUAGACUUAUUUUUCAUGGCAGAUUUUGAAUAUCCGAUUUAAAUUUGUGAUAAACUUUUGUAUUUACGAAGUAGCAGAUUUUUAGACAAAAUUAUGGGUUUGAGUAAACCAAACUUAAAUCGACUUGGAUUAAAUCCGGUUUACUUUAAUUUUGAAUCUGGUUGAUUUAUAUAGUGUAAUUAAAACUAGAAUUAAGUUAUACAAAGUUUGUAACUGUCGUCCCCUUCAUCCCACUUUUAUUCAUUAUCAAAUUGCCUUCUUUCAUAGUAUUUUACUAUCUUUAUUUAUUAAACAAAAAUGGAUCACAUCACAUCAUUCUCGUAUGUGGAGAGUGGAAAGUUGAAAGAAUGAAGUGGUUAUAUUUGAAGUGAACAAUGAUCAAAGUAGCAAAUUAUUUGCUGCAAAUGAGGAAAUAAAUAUGAGGAUUUUGGGGAAAUCAUAUUUGAGGAAUACGGAGUUGAUUUUGCAGAACACGAGUUAGAACUGACGUACCUUUUGCCAAAAUGCACUCUCUUGAAGCAAAACCUCGAUACACCUCCUGUGAAAGUAGGCAACAGUACACAGUUUCAUGGAUUUCUUUCUUCACAAAGUCGAUAAAGGUUCAGUUCAAGGUGAAUAUCUCAACAACCAAAAAGUCUUUUUCCGUGAAUUAAAUUUUACAAGAAGUCUAACUCAUCAAGGAAUCAAUGAGGCUUAGAAUUACAAGAAAAUAUUCAUGGAGGAAGAAGUUAUGAAUUUUACAAAUCAGAAGUUCUCCAACCCGUCCAUCUGCGAGUACCAGACUUUUGAAGAAGAUUCAAGCCCAAAGAAAAAGCGGUCUGAACCAAAGCCGAUCAUAGGAUUCAAGAUGGAUAUCUCAGUUUUACAGAAAGCCCAAUAUCAGGACAAAUGGCCACAGAAUUAUGAAAUUAUGAUCCAAUCUCCAGAACUGGCUAAACCAGUUCUACACUUGCCUCAAUUGGAAGCAAUUACUUCCAAGACUUUAAGUUCGAGUUUUUUUGUUUUCCUUUUAUCAUUUUAUGACCAGUUCAAUCAGUUUCAAACCAGACAUUGGUGACCAAGAGAUCAAUUUAUACAUUCAGAAAGUUCAUCCAGUGAUCCAAAAGAGUCAGACAAGUCUGUUCCAUGCACCAGCAACCAUAGGAUUAGGAGGAUCCUCAUUAACCACAACUUUCCUUAUUGGGAUACAUUUACACUUGGAGCCAUAACUCAUCAAUGACCCAGCCAUAAAAGCUACAACGUUUUGGAGUCAUUACCAGCUUGUCUAGGAGCCCCAAGAUGUACCAGACUACACUGGAUCAGGCGGAUCCCAAUCAGACCAGAAGAGAGGCCCGGUUUGCUUACAUUGGCCAAACCGAUAUUAUUUAAGGAAUGUAUUCUACUCCUUCAGUUUGGUUCGACCCAAACUUAUCUAUGGAAGCCAGAACAUCAUCUAAACCAUCCAGAAGACAUCCAAGAAGUCCUUAGCUUCACCAGCACCUAGGAGAUCAGGCGGAUCUCUCUCUAUCAACAUUCCAUAUAUGGCAACAUUUACACUAAAUGCUUUGGAGGAGUUUCUACAGAUUUUUGCCCAAGACCAACGGCCAUAUUCUCUUUUAUUGAGACCAAGGAGUAUUUCAGGAAGGCUUGAAGAUCAUGGCCACGUCCAGAAGCUAUCAAGAUACAAGUCUUCACAAGUUUCUCUUUUGGAAGAAAGAAAUUCAAGCAUAACGGCUAUAUUCCAUGGAGCCAUCAAAGCCUUUGCUUCCGAGACUUUAAGUUCGAGUUAUUUUGUUUUCUUUUAACAUUUUAUGACUGUUAGGGUCUGUCUUUGUCGAACCUAUAAAGUUCUAGUCUUUGCUUCAAUGUAAAUCACCCAUCUUGAAAGUAUUAUGAAAUAUUCAGUUUUCUAGUUUUCUUAUAAGUAUUGUUCUAAGUCUUUAGAGUGUUGUGAGAAACAGCUCCAGAGCAACCCGACUUAUCAAAGAUUCCUUCCAUAGAUCUUUGUGGCGUCUAUCAAUCCAUUUCGUCCAUCCCACCCAAUUGCCAAGCUUGAGAGUGAUACACAUCCAGCAAGCAAAGCACCAUCUCAAUCCACUUCGAUCAUCCUACCUUUGUUUAUUUAUCUUGUUUUGUUCUUAGUAUAAACCGCAUCUCAUUGCAUUUGCAUUUGUUUCAAGUUUACAUCUCGGAUUCCAUUCAUAUCGCCCAUCCGAUCAUAUAUUUGGCCGAUCCAUCAAGCUUCCAUCAUCCAUCUUGCCAAUCCUGAUUUCCAGCAUGUAUCAUAAAGACACAAGAAAGAUAUUCUCCACAGAAUAAGUUUGACUUGGCUCCUUCAAAUUUGACGUGGGACAAAGUUUUGAUUCAAAAGAUGCAUUGGAAACACGUCUAAAGAUUUUUUCAGUUGUCCAACAUUUCUAUUUUGAUGUGAAAAAAUCUACGCAUAAACUUUUUGUAAAAUGUUGGAUAAAAGGAUGUACGUGGAAGCUUAGAGCCACAAACAUUCCUGCUAUGUAAUAGAACGUUCAUCUCGUUUUUGACAUGCUACUUCUGAAAUUCUUGGACUCUUGUACAAAGACUAUAUUGGUGGGGUUGAUCCAACUAUUUUUCCACGUCAUGUUGCUAGUGCUAUGAACAUGAGCUUCAUAAUAAAGGUUAAUUGACUACAUUUUUGCAACGGAAUUACUGUAUUUUCUGACCUUACUUCCUUUUAAAUGGGUUGGUGUCUAUCGUAUAUCGCCGAUGGAUUACUAGAAAGCUCAUCAUACACUUAUAAUUGCUAGAGAUAUCGUAAUGGGUUCUUUAGAGAGUGGAUACGAGGAAUCACCUACUUACCUAUACAUGAUUAGAAUGACAAAUCCUGGAACUUUAACUGGACUGGAAGUUGAUGCAGAAAAUAGAUUUAAGUACUUAUUCCUUGUUUGUAACACUAGCAUUAUUGGCUUGAGAAAGUUGUGGUGGUAGAUGGUGUUUUCUCGCAAGGAAAAUACAAAGAAAUGUUUCUCAUUGCAACAUCACAUGAUGUUAAUUUUCAAAUACUUCUAAUUUCAUUUGUUGUGAUUGACACAGAAAAUGAUGAAUCAUGGACAUGGUUUUUCCGCCAACUCAGCCGUGUGAUACCCAAUGAUAAAAGAUUGACAUUAAUUUCUGAUAGGCAGAAGUCAAUAGGGAAAACUAUUGCAGUGGUCUAUCCAUUAGCAAGCAUGAGAAUUUGCACGUACCACUUAUAUAAAACAUCUUGUUACGGUACACAUGGCGUGAUUUGGUUGGGUUUGUCAAACUCCCCCUCCCCCCACCUCCCCCCCCCCCCCCCCCAAAUCUUUUAGGUUUACUAACUUUCAAGUAACCUUCAAAACGACAAAAGAGUUAAAUCCAGCUUUUCAUGCAUAUUUGGAUCGUGUUGAUGGUAUAUAAGUGGGCACAAACUUAUUUUAGAGGUGACAGAUAUAACAUCACUACAAGUGACAUAACUGAAUCGAUUUAACUUUGCCAUAUGCGAGAAGAUUGCCAAUUAUUCGCCUUUCAGAUCAAUCCGAUUAAUGAUGAUAUUCUGGUUGCGUCAAGAAAACAUGAUGAUGACUUGAUGAAAGCCUCUCUAACUCGUGGUGUAGAAAAGUUGUCGGAGGUAAUAUAUUUAAAAUCAGGUUAUGUAUUUCAGUGGGUUACUUUCUAAUCUAUUAAACUCUUACAUUUGCAUGACAGUAUACAUCGACAUUCAUCAAUCAUAAGUGAUAGAAAUCGCAUCUUUAUAUGUUGUAAAUUUUAUAGAAAAAAUCAUGUUCUUCACGUAAGUUUGACUUAGAGAAGCUACCAUGUGCUCAUGCUAUUAUCACUUUGCCAUUAUUAUUAUCGGAAACAAUGCCUUUACAAUGCAUAUUUCACUGAUUUAAUGUCCAAAGAUGAUACUGUUCUAAUACAAGAAUAAGUGAGAAAGAAAAUAUGUUUACCAACUGACAUCUGUAAACCACUGAAUAAACAAAAAAAAAAGAAAUCAAAA